CUACGGGAGGCUCCAGUGGGGAAUAUUGGACAAUGGGGGAAACCCUGAUCCAGCAAUGCCGCGUGUGUGAAGAAGGCCUUAGGGUUGUAAAGCACUUUCAGUAGUGAGGAAAAGUUUAAGGCUAAUACCCUUGAACCCUGACGUUAACUACAGAAGAAGCACCGGCUAACUUCGUGCCAGCAGCCGCGGUAAUACGAAGGGUGCAAGCGUUAAUCGGAUUUACUGGGCGUAAAGCGCGCGUAGGCGGUUUGAUAAGUCGGAUGUGAAAGCCCCGGGCUCAACCUGGGAAUUGCAUUCGAUACUGUCAGGCUAGAGUAUGGUAGAGGGAAGUGGAAUUCCACAUGUAGCGGUGAAAUGCGUAGAUAUGUGGAGGAACACCAGUGGCGAAGGCGACUUCCUGGCCCAAUACUGACGCUGAGGUGCGAAAGCGUGGGGAGCAAACAGGAUUAGAUACCCUUGUAGUC
rnacentral:rRNA from 1 species